rfam:Populus trichocarpa scaffold_18_contig_152, whole genome shotgun sequence.
UCUAGAACUCGAGAUAUGGGCUGAACACUGAAUAGUGUAUGGGUUGCAGGACAGAUUCAGACUUCUCUUUUGAUGCUAAGAUUUAGACUUCCAAACCUCAUAAUUGAGUCUUGGACUCCCCUGAAUGUUUUAGGCCUAUGUCUUAGCUUUCUAAC